UACGUAGGUGGCAAGCGUUGUCCGGAUUUACUGGGCGUAAAGAGCGCGCAGGCGGUCGUUCAAGUCGCGUGUGAAAGCCCCCCGGCUCAACUGGGGAGGGUCACGCGAUACUGAUCGACUCGAAGGCAGGAGAGGGAAGUGGAAUUCCCGGUGUAGUGGUGAAAUGCGUAGAUAUCGGGAGGAACACCAGUGGCGAAGGCGACUUCCUGGCCUGUUCUUGACGCUGAGGCGGCGAAAGCUAGGGGAGCAAACGGG
rnacentral:rRNA from 1 species